UCCCCGAACUAGAAAGGACUAAAAAAAAUUUUUUUUCUUUUUGAUCUUUUGAGAAAGGACCUUCAGUACCCCAGACUGGCUUUGAACUCCCUAUGUCACGGAGGGUAUCUUUCCAUCUCCUAUGUGCUGGGAUUACAGGAUAAAAGCUCCACUGGACUCAGGACUUUGUCCUCGUCGCUACUGGAACAUAGUGAGCACAGAGAUGCUGGGAGCUGACCAACAUUCUCUGCUUAAUAAAAGAGGAAGCUGUGGCUCACAACCUGCUGAAACAUAGCAGGGAAAAGGGCGGUGCAAAGAGGGAAGCUAGCCCGCGGGGGCAUCGUGACCCUAGCAUCCUGGAGAUGCCUGGAGGUGUCUCAGAGCUUGGGUGGUCCCAGCCCCACGCGGAAGUCGCGGGGGCGAGGAGUUGAAUGAGCUCUGCUUAGGGCGAAAAGCCAGAGCUGAAGAACCCGAACCCCAGCCGGCAGGACCUCACAAGCUUUCCAGAAAGCCCCAGGCUUUCCCACUUCCUCUCCCAGGAUGCCUCACCGCCAAGCAGGGUGUGAACAAAGACGGCUUCUACCAGAAGCUGGAGCGGCUCACAUUGAAGCUUUUGAACCAUUGUCACGACAUGAUGGGCUUCGCGUUCUUACUUAUUCUGCACUUUUGCUAUGCACGAGUUUUCCUAUUACCCUGAUUCAGUUGCUCUUCCCUCGUUCAGACUGGACUUUUGGGUUUUGUUGGAGGAGAUUGCUUCACAGUGGAAUGACCAAAAGCAGUUUUAGUAUUUCCUUUCCUUUCCUCUUCUUUUCUUUUUAUUUCUUUCUUUUUUUAGUAUUUCCCUUCUUUUGGGCCAGUCUCCUAGGAUUUUUGUUUUGUUUUGUUUCUUUUCUUUUUUUCAGAGCUAGGCAAGCGCUCUACCACUGAGCUAAAUCCCCAACCCCAGGAUUUUUGUUUUUAAUUCAAAAAGAAUAAUAAGACGAAGCUAGGCAGAUACUUAAGUUGGUUAAGUGUCACAAAAGCUUGAGGACCUGAGUUCAAUUCCUGACGCCUAUAAAAAAAAAAAAAAAGGAAAAAACCCAAAAAACAAUAAUCUUCCUGUCAUGCGAACACUGGGGAAACACACAGUGGGUUCAUGGGUCUUGGCUAGUGAGAAUAAUUGAAUUAGUGUGCCACAGAUUCAGUGAGAGCCCCUCUCUCAAAAAAGGUAGAGAUCGAUUUAAGAACAUACUCAAUGUUGACCUUUACACACACAAGUAAAAGCUUCGAUGUGUAUUUUAUUUUGCAAGGUAGUGCAAAUCGUGGCUUAUUUUGCCCCAUAUUCAGAAAUCAAGCCAAACGGCUCCGGUUAAAUUGUGUUCCUUAUGUAGGCCUUCCCUUUUUUCUGUACGAUAUUUGCAAAAACAUGAUUUAUUUCUGGAUUUCCACUCUCUCCACAUAAACAUACCUUUUAACACCAUUUUCUUAUUGUUUUUCUUGUUGUGCAAUGUGUAAUGUGAUAUGCGAAAGAGCUGUGAUUAAAUACUCCCUCAUUAAAAAAAAAAAAAAAAAA